rnacentral:rRNA from 1 species
AUUCGGCUUCCUACGGGAGGCAGCAGUGGGGAAUUUUGCGCAAUGGGCGAAAGCCUGACGCAGCAAUACCGCGUGAGUGAUGAAGGCUCUUGGGUCGUAAAGCUCUGUCAGAGGGGAAGAACCUCCUAACGUAUAAUACACGUUAGGCCUGACGAUACCCUCAGAGGAAGCACCGGCUAACUCUGUGCCAGCAGCCGCGGUAAUA